rnacentral:rRNA from 1 species
CCUACGGGGGGCAGCAGUAGGGAAUUUUCGUCAAUGGGCGCAAGCCUGAACGAGCAAUGCCGCGUGAACGAGGAAGGUCUUCGGAUCGUAAAGUUCUGUUGAAGGGGAAAAAGAGCGGGGAGAGGAAAUGGUCUCCGAUUGAUAUUACCCUUCGAGGAAGUCACGGCUAACUACGUGCCAGCAGCCGCGGUAAUACGGAGGAUGCGAGCGUUAUCCGGAUUUAUUGGGUUUAAAGGGUGCGUAGGCGGACAGUCAAGUCAGCGGUAAAAAUGCGGUGCUCAACGCCGUACAGCCGUUGAAACUGG